rnacentral:rRNA from 1 species
UACGUAGGGGGCAAGCGUUGUCCGGAUUUAUUGGGCGUAAAGAGCUCGUAGGUGGUUCGGUAAGUCGGAUGUGAAAUCUUCAGGCUCAACCUGGAGGGGUCAUUCGAUACUGCCGUGACUAGAGUUCGGUAGGGGAGUGUGGAAUUCCUGGUGGAGCGGUGAAAUGCGCAGAUAUCAGGAGGAACACCCGUAGCGAAGGCGGCACUCUGGGCCGAUACUGACACUGAGGAGCGAAAGCGUGGGGAGCGAACAGG